UUAAAUUGAAGAGUUUGAUCAUGGCUCAGAUUGAACGCUGGCGGCAGGCCUAACACAUGCAAGUCGAACGGUAACAGGAAGCAGCUUGCUGCUUCGCUGACGAGUGGCGGACGGGUGAGUAAUGUCUGGGAAACUGCCUGAUGGAGGGGGAUAACUACUGGAAACGGUAGCUAAUAC
rnacentral:rRNA from 2 species